AAGCCUGACGGAGCAACGCCGCGUGAGUGAUGAAGGUCUUCGGAUCGUAAAACUCUGUUAUUAGGGAAGAACAAAUGUGUAAGUAACUAUGCACGUCUUGACGGUACCUAAUCAGAAAGCCACGGCUAACUACGUGCCAGCAGCCGCGGUAAUACGUAGGUGGCAAGCGUUAUCCGGAAUUAUUGGGCGUAAAGCGCGCGUAGGCGGUUUUUUAAGUCUGAUGUGAAAGCCCACGGCUCAACCGUGGAGGGUCAUUGGAAACUGGAAAACUUGAGUGCAGAAGAGGAAAGUGGAAUUCCAUGUGUAGCGGUGAAAUGCGCAGAGAUAUGGAGGAACACCAGUGGCGAAGGCGACUUUCUGGUCUGUAACUGACGCUGAUGUGCGAAAGCGUGGGGAUCAAACAGGAUUAGAUACCCUGGUAGUCCACGCCGUAAACGAUGAGUGCUAAGUGUUAGGGGGUUUCCGCCCCUUAGUGCUGCAGCUAACGCAUUAAGCACUCCGCCUGGGGAGUACGACCGCAA
rnacentral:rRNA from 1 species